rnacentral:rRNA from 1 species
GAUCCUGGCUCAGGAUGAACGCUGGCGGCGUGCUUAACACAUGCAAGUCGAACGAGGAAUUUUGAAUGAGACUUCGGUGGAUUUUAAAAUUCUUAGUGGCGGACGGGUGAGUAACGCGUGGGCAACCUGCCCUGUACAGGGGGACAACAGCUGGAAACGGCUGCUAAUACCGCAUAAGCGCACAGCAUCGCAUGAUGCCGUGUGAAAAACUCCGGUGGUACAGGAUGGGCCCGCGUUGGAUUAGG